GAUGAACGCUGGCGGCGUGCCUAACACAUGCAAGUCGAGCGAUUCUCUUUGGAGAAGAGCGGCGGACGGGUGAGUAACGCGUGGGUAACCUGCCCUGUACACACGGAUAACAUACCGAAAGGUAUGCUAAUACGAGAUAAUAUGCUUUUAUCGCAUGGUAGAAGUAUCAAAGUUUUUGGGGUACAGGAUGGACCCGCGUCUGAUUAGCUAGUUGGUAAGGUAACGGCUUACCAAGGCGACGAUCAGUAGCCGACCUGAGAGGGUGAUCGGCCACAUUGGAACUGAGACACGGUCCAAACUCCUACGGGAGGCAGCAGUGGGGAAUAUUGCACAAUGGGCGAAAGCCUGAUGCAGCAACGCCGCGUGAGCGAUGAAGGCCUUCGGGUCGUAAAGCUCUGUCCUCAAGGAAGAUAAUGACGGUACUUGAGGAGGAAGCCCCGGCUAACUACGUGCCAGCCGCCGCAGUAAGAC
rnacentral:rRNA from 1 species